CGCGUCAUCGCGACGACGUCAUCACGACGCGACGGUGCCGCACGCCAUCCGCGGACCUCGGAGCCUUUGCAGGAGGCUUUGCUGGGGUCCAAGCGGCUGCGGUGAGAACGGGGGAGACGCUGUGGCGGCCAUGCAGCCAGAGAUCUUUUGGCGGCCAGUCGAGGCGGCUCAGGCCCGUCAUCCCAGCACUUUGGGAGGCGGAGGUGGGCGGAUCACCCGAGGUCAGGAGUUCGAGACCAGCCCGACCAACAUGGAGAAAUUCCGUCUGUAUUAAGAAAAAAAUUGGGGUCUUGCUGUGCUGCCCAGGCUGGACCGCAGUGGCGUGAUCUUGACUCCCCGCAGCCUCCACCCUCUGGGUUCAGCCGAUUCUCCUGCGUCAGCCUCCCAAGUAGCUCUUGAGAAAUGUAAUUAAAUAAAAGCAAAAAUAGUAAAAAUGAAA